CCUACGGGAGGCUGCAGUGAGGAAUAUUGGUCAAUGGACGAGAGUCUGAACCAGCCAAGUAGCGUGAAGGAUGACUGCCCUAUGGGUUGUAAACUUCUUUUAUAUGGGAAUAAAACGUUCCACGUGUGGGAUUUUGUAUGUACCAUAUGAAUAAGGAUCGGCUAACUCCGUGCCAGCAGCCGCGGUAAUCCGGAGGAUCCGAGCGUUAUCCGGAUUUAUUGGGUUUAAAGGGAGCGUAGGUGGAUUGUUAAGUAAGUUGUGAAAGUUUGCGGCUCAACCGUAAAAUUGAAGUUGAAACUUGCAGUCUUGAGUACAGUAGAGGUGGGCGGAAUUCGUGGUGUAGCGGUGAAAUGCUUAGAUAUCACGAAGAACUCCGAUUGCGAAGGCAGUUCACUGGACUGCAACUGACACUGAGGCUCGAAAGUGUGGGUAUCAAACAGGAUUAGAUACCCCUGUAGUC
rnacentral:rRNA from 1 species